UUGUGUCUGAUGGUCCCGGGGACCCCUGCUGCCCCGCCCAGGACCUGCCUCAGCAAGGGGCCACCACGCGUUUGUUGAGUUACUUGAUGACGGGCCUCUGGCUCUUGGCCCAAAGCCCCAGCCAGGAGGGCCCGCGCUAGGGUCCGGCUCCUCUGCUCCGGCUGGGGGCCCGAAGGCGGAGCAGGGAUGAGAACAGUCUCCUCGCCCCCCCCCCCCCCCGAGUAGUUUCGGUGGCGGAAGUGAUGUCUAUUGCUGAACACGUGUGCUUAUGAAGACAUGUGACCCCUCAGCAGAGCCCGGGGAUGCCCGCGUUGCACACGUGAGGACUCGGGCGCAGGGAGGUGGCAGGGCUGUGCCCGGGGUCAUGGCCGCACAGGGGCAAAGCCUGGGUUUAAGCCCAGGCUCCCUGACGGCCCGCUGCACUGCCUGCCCCAGGGGAAGGGGAAGGGGAAGGGGAAGGGUAGGGCCUCUGACGCGGGUGGGGCGGGGGCCUGGGAGACGGCCGGGGACAGGUCGUGCCCUGCCGCCUCCUGGAAACGGAAGGUCAGCUGGAUACUGAAGCAGCCGUCCCCUCGCCCGCACCAGGGCCGACCAGCCAGGGCCCCCAGGCCAGCCGGGAAAACGUGCUGACCCUCACUGCCCGGUGUGAGGGUGGCCGCUGAAGUGGGUCCGCACGCACACCGCAGCGGCCGCUUACCCGCGAAUGUUGCCGGAGCCCGUGACGCCCCAUUGGUUUGUCUCUGCCUCUCCCGCCCGGGGACUGGCGUCAGGAGCCUGGAGUGCUGUGAUGGAUGGCACCGGCCGGUGCUCCCGCCGAGGCCAGAGUCCGCUCUGCGUCUGCAGGCCGCCCCGGGGCCUCACGCAGUGCCGCAGGUGAUCACGGGGGCACUGCCAGGCAAGAGGGCUGGGGCCCGGGCUCUGCCUCUCGAGCGCUGUGUGGCUCCAGACAAACGUCCUGGCCUCUCUGGGCCCCUGUGUGUGACUACUCUCCUGCCUCCCUGCUUGGGCUGAGGGUCCGUACAAAAAUGGGGCGCCGUGCGUGAGCCUCGCCAUCGAUGCAAGCUCCCCUCGGGCCGGCUGUUCGAUCCAGAACCUUCCGUGCCUGUGCUCACCUCACCCCCAGGCAACUCCGCAAGGCUGCCCACGUGCCCCAGCACAAGCGACCCCACGGUGGACUCAGGCCCGGACUCCGCGUGUCUCUGAGACUUGCUUCCUCUCGGUGUCAGGUGGCGUGGAGGGCAGGAGGGGCGUCGCUGGGCCCAUAACCCCAAGUGCCGGGUUCAAUGUCAUCACCCGCAGGCAGGGCCACGGAAGGGGAGGCACGGAAGGACCACGUGGUCAGCUCCACCCCAGCGGACGCAGCCUGUCUUCCUGCCCAGUAGCUGGGGCGGCCCCUGCCCACCGGGGCUCCCAGUCGCGAGGACCCGGCUGCUUCCAGGCACGAGGCGAGUCCCCCGUGAGUGCUGGUCCCUCUCCCUUGCCGGCUCUGUCCUCGGCCCAGUCCCGCUCUCCCUCUCCCUGCUGCCCCUGCCCUGUGAGAGGCUCUGAUCCCGCGGGAUUCCUGGCAUGCCCCAGGGACUCCAGGCCAUGCUUCUCAGGGACGGAGGGAGGGGCCGCCAGCCCUCUGGGGACAGGGCCGUUUUGGCACCUGCUAAUUGGGAGGCCUGGGUUUGAACCCACAUUUUCCGCAGGCUGAAGGAGCCUCCGCACUGAUUCUGGAAGAGGCCAGAUUCCUCCUUCCACGUUUCCAGCCCUGCCCCCCCCCUUCCCUGGAGCCCUUCUACAACAGGACCGAACCACCCGUUAUUUAAUAAAAUUGUCAGAACAACUGA